GACAGAGGGUGCGAACGUUGUUCGGAAUUACUGGGCGUAAAGCGCGUGUAGGCUGUUCGGAAAGUCGGGUGUGAAAGCCCUGGGCUCAACCUAGGAAGUGCACUCGAAACUCCCGAACUGGAGUCCCGGAGAGGAAGGUGGAAUUCUCGGUGUAGAGGUGAAAUUCGUAGGAUAUCGAGAGGAACAUCGGUGGCGAAGGCGGCCUUCUGGACGGUGACUGACGCUGAGACGCGAAAGCGUGGGAGCA
rnacentral:rRNA from 1 species